GGACAUGUGCCUGAAAGUUAAGGCUUACUUUGAUAGAGUAAUAUAUAGGGGUUCAAACCCCCUCAUUUCCU
rnacentral:tRNA from 1 species